rnacentral:tRNA from 1 species
AGCAUAGUGGUAGUGCACAGCCACGGAAAGGUUGAGGCACGGGUUCGAAUCCCGU